rnacentral:rRNA from 1 species
GUGCCAGCAGCCGCGGUAAUACCGGCAGCCCGAGUGAUGGCCGAUCUUAUUGGGCCUAAAGCGUCCGUAGCUGGCUGCGCAAGUCCGUCGGGAAAUCCAGUAGCUCAACUACUGGGCGUCCGGCGGAAACUACAAGGCUUGGGACCGGAAGGCUCAGAGAGUACGUCCGGGGUAGGAGUGAAAUCCCAUAAUCCCGCACGGACCACCGAUGGCGAAAGCACUUCGAGAAAACGGAUCCGACAGUGAGGGACGAAAGCCAGGGUCUCCAACCGGAUUAGAAACCCGGGUAGUCC